AUUGAACGCUGGCGGCAGGCCUAACACAUGCAAGUCGAACGAGUGGCGGACGGGUGAGUAAUGUCUGGGAAACUGCCCGAUGGAGGGGGAUAACUACUGGAAAUGGUAGCUAAUACCGCAUACCAUCGGAUGUGCCCAGAUGGGAUUAGCUAGUAGGUGGGGUAACGGCUCACCUAGGCGACGAUCCCCAGCGGGUCUGAGAGGAUGACCAGCCACACUGGAACUGAGACACGGUCCGGACUCCUACGGGGGGCAGAAGUGGGGAAUAUUGCACAAUGGGCGCAAGCCUGAUGCAGCCAUGCCGCGUGUAUGAAGAAGGCCUUCGGGUGUUAAAGUACUUUCAGCGGGGAGGCGUUACUCGCAGAAGAAGCACCGGCUAACUCCGUGCCAGCAGCCGCGGUAAUUC
rnacentral:rRNA from 1 species